UUUGUCGGAAUAAUACGAAUUCCAAAUACAUAUUUUACAAACAUCUCAUUUCUCUAUUUAUAAGUGUCAGACGACCAAUUCUGAGAAAUCAAAGACCAACAUAAGCAUAAAAUGAAAUAGUUGCCUAGUUGUUAUAUUAUUAGCCAUUCAUCGCUCACUAAGCAUAGAAAACUACGGCUACAAACAAACCUCUAAUUGCAGUUACAACACCAACCAUAAACCACAAAUCAGUCACCAAACUAGAAAUCCUCAAAUUCACUUGUUUAGUUCCGUCAGCGAUUCAACCUGAGCAUCCUUAAACGCAGCCAUAUCGAGCUUGAUCGCAUCCAAAUCCUUCAGCACCGAGUCCAUCUUAUGGUAGUCGAUUCCGUCAUUGGAUCGGCAUUUGAAAGUUAUCAAAUUGCAGUCCUCGGACAUGCGAUCGAAAGAAUUACCAAAGACUGGAUCAAUUUCUGACUCAAACCGCCAUCAUCAGCCCACUCAAAAUAUUUGCAAUCGACACUCUUGUCUUACUGUAUCGAUGCAAUGCAAGGCCAAAUCGGUAAAAGGGGGCAAGUCGCAACUGACGACUACUAUUAAGGCACCACAAUUUUGCCUUUCACAAAGGGCAUCGGUAGAAUUCCCCCCCUGGGUUCUCCGCCGUCCCAGAAACGAGAAGAUGCACUUGUUGUAUGUGUCUAUAGUGCUUUGGAUGUCGACUCGAGCUGAUUGACUCGAUGGUGGUUCGCGACGUCUUCUUCAUUGCACCAAUCCACUGUGGAAGCAACCUCUCACGAUCCGUCCCUCGAACAACCUAAUAUGGGCUCACCGGAAACAAGAAAUAAGGGAAGAAGAAGAAUGAACAGCGGGGAAUGGUUGGUUU
rnacentral:lncRNA from 1 species